rnacentral:rRNA from 1 species
AUUGAACGCUGGCGGCAUGCUUUACACAUGCAAGUCGAACGGUAACAGGCCGCAAGGUGCUGACGAGUGGCGAACGGGUGAGUAAUGCAUCGGAACGUGCCCAGUCGUGGGGGAUAACGCAGCGAAAGCUGCGCUAAUACCGCAUACGAUCUAUGGAGGAAAGCGGGGGACCGUAAGGCCUCGCGAGAUUGGAGCGGCCGAUGUCAGAUUAGGUAGUUGGUGGGGUAAAGGCUCACCAAGCCAACGAUCUGUAGCUGGUCUGAGAGGACGACCAGCCACACUGGGACUGAGACACGGCCCAGACUCCUACGGGAGGCAGCAGUGGGGAAUUUUGGACAAUGGGCGCAAGCCUGAUCCAGCAAUGCCGCGUGCAGGAAGAAGGCCUUCGGGUUGUAAACUGCUUUUGUACGGAACGAAACGGUCUGGGUUAAUACCUCGGGCUAAUGACGGUACCGUAAGAAUAAGCACCGGCUAACUACGUGCCAGCCGCCGCAGUAACAC